GCUGAAUAUGUUGAUUCAGAAGAUGAGAUUGUCAGGUGUUUGCUCUGAGAGAUGCGGGUGAUAUGGCGGAGAAUGCAACAGCUUAUGUGAGCUUGGAACCUUGCAAUCAUUUCGGGAGGACCCCACCUUGUACCGAAGCUCUAGUUAAAGCCAAAGUGAAAAAGGUUGUUGUUGGGAUGGUGGAUCCAAAUCCCAUUGUGGCCUCCAAAGGGGUGGAUAGAUUGAGAAGUGCGGGAAUAGAAGUUGUUGUUGGUGUAGAGGAAGAUUUGUGCAAGAGACUCAAUGAGGCCUAUAUUCAUCGCAUGUUGACUGGAAGGCCUUUCCUCACUUUGAGGUAAUUCAUUUCUUCCUCUAUCCGUCGAUACUCCGGCUCGCGUAACAUUUGGGUAUAUGGCUGUUCUCUGACCAAUCACAUACUCAUAGAACAUAAAAUUAUACAAAGUGUAGGACAUCAUAUAUGUAUCUUAAUUGGUAGGCUAUUCUAUCUUGCUUAGAAGUCUUGAAUUUAAAUAUUUAUAGUUGUGUUUCAUAGGUAAAAUUUUGUCGCCAAUAAAUCUUAUUCUAGUAUAGUUUAGAUAAAUUAAUAACAAAAGUGAUGAGAUUAAUAAAUACAAAUAGGGUAGUUAAACAAUAAUGAUAUGUUUAAAUUGAAUUGUAGGGUAUAAAGUGUUCUAUUUUGUAAAUAAAAAUAUUAUAGUUAAGCAAUAAUGAUAUUUGUAAAUUAAGGGUAAAAGAUAAGUUUUACAAAUAUGAAUAACAUAAUUUUCUCAAUAACAAAUAAAUAUUCAAUAUUUUGAAAAUUCAACUCAUCUCAAUGCUAAGUUAAGUUGACAUAAUCUGACUUCUUAUAAUGAUCCAACUCAAUUUAAUCAUAAUUGGUAAUGAGACAAUCCAAGUGAGUCAAAUUGGCUUACCUUGAGAGCUCCUACAACAUAUGAGAUUGAUAUACUCAAUAUAAAUGUUAAUAAUAUUAAUCACUAAACCACGAUUUCGUCCAAAUACUAUAUAUUAAUCAUUAUCUUGAAGAGUUUUAUAAUGAAUUACCAUCACCAGCAUUAAUCUCAAGAUUAUAUUUCUGAGAAUAUCGAUAAUAGAUGUUUGCUUACGAUUCUACACCUUGUAACAAUGGAAUGAUAAUAAUUCACAUCAAAUUAAAACCUUCACCAAAUAGGCUUGCAUUGAAUGGGACUGGAGACUAUUCCAAUUUGUAACAAAUAUAGCUUAAUAUGCAGGAACUUCUAAACAAAAGGUCUGGGUGGUGUAGUCGGUUAUCACGCUAGUCUCACACACUAGAGGUCCCCGGUUCGAACCCGGGCUCAGACAAUUUCAAGCGUUUUGUCACAUUGCUGUUCAUCAUACUUCACUGGAUGUUAUUUUUUUUGUUUUUCCCUAUAAUCCUAAAUUUUCUACUUUGUUCUGUUCCCUUCUUCUAACAACACCAUGAAAGCACAACCCUUUUCACUUUCACUCCCAUGUUACAGCUUUCUUCCUCUGCCCAGAUUCUCAUCCUAUGCCACUCCUCCAAAUUUUGCAUCUUUUCCACCAAUCCAUGACCCCUCCAAGAAUUUAACUUAUGGGUUUUACAAAUCACUCAUUUGGGUGCAUAGAACAACUGGGUGGAAGAAUAGUUGUGGUGGUGGCUCUUUAAUUGUUAAGUGUGGUUCCCAUGAAGAAAAUGAUGAUGGGUUUUACAUUAGAAGGUGUGUGGAAGUUGCAAGAAAGGGUAUUGGGAAUACUAGCCCAAAUCCAAUGGUGGGGUGUGUUAUUGUAAAGGAUGGGAAAAUUGUUGGUGAAGGAUUCCACCCUAAAGCUGGUCAACCACAUGCUGAGGUACCUUCUCUAUUUUUACCCUUCUCUAUAUAUCUUUAUAUCAUUUUAUGAUGAUGUAAAAAUCUGAGAUUUGUAUGCAAUUUUGCAUAUUUAUAUACUGUGUUCAUUUGUUGGCUUCCCUAAAGAUUUCAUUUUUCAUUGCAUUUGUGCUUCAUACAUCACAGGACAGAGCAGGCUGUACUACAUGACUAAUAUGAGAAUAUAUUUAGGGAACACAUUUGUUGUUCCAAAAGUGUGGUGCAACUUCCUGUGAUUGGUUUUGAAAAUAUAUAUAUAUAAGUUAAACGUGUAACAAUUAAUUACUUUUCUGACUAAUUAUAGGAAGGGAAACAUGGAAUACUACAUUUUUGGGGGAAUGAAGAUGUGCUCCCAUUAAUGUAGUGGUAACACAGAUGCACAAAUCUUAAACUAGAAAAGAUGAAUAAUGUUUUAGAAGUAUGAUAUGAGUAUAAAAAAGGGUGGCCUUAUGCACAAAGCUCCCACUUAGUGGGUUCUGGAUGGAUAGAUGUACGCAAUCUUACCCCUCAAGCGGAAAAAAUGUUUUUAAGAAUUGAACUCUUGACCUCGUUGUCACUAUUUCAAUAUGAGUAAAUAAACAUAAUAAAAUGCGAACAUGUAUGCAAUUAUUCUUUUAGAUAAGAUGUAAAUGUUUCAUUACCUCAACUUGAACCAAUACAAGAAUCAGGGAUAUUGAAACAUAAUCAACAGUUCACUUCAAAACAUAAAACCUGUCUAACUAAUCUAUCAACUUUAACUAUAUCAGACUAUACAAAUGCAUUUCUUGAUAUAAACCUGAAUCUGAAAUGAAUUCAAUUUUGUUUAAUGGAAACUUUGCUUGCAAUGUUCUGGUUCUGAAUUCUCCAUUUUAAGCCUGUUUGAAUUUGUGGAACUAUUGUAUUUAUAGAUUUGGAUUUGUUCUUAUAGAUCCAGUUGUUCCUUUCAAGUCCAAAUAGAGUAAAUAGUGGCUGCAACUGAUGCAUAAAAUAUAAGCCUCUUGAAUUUGCUGUUCUUCUAAAUGUGCAAUAUGAAUCUGCUUCCAGAAGUUGAAGUGUUGUGAAUUUUUUUAUCUGCAACCAACUCUUGUCUUAGCUAAUAAAGCAAGUGGUUUCUUGUCUACUCGGUCUUAUACUCUUAUGUAAUUAUUGUGAUAUUUCAAACAAUGACAGUAUAAAAUUCACAAAAUACAGCAAGUAGUGUCCAAAAGUGACUGAUAUGGAUAUGUGUCCGACGCAAACAUAACAACUAUUUUGAAGUGUACAUGCUUCAUAGCAUCUAUGAGGAGCUUAAUUUGAAUUCAAAUAAUGGUUUUUGUGAGAAAUUGAAGAAACUGGUUGAGGGCUGGAGAAGAUGUUUUGAUUGUAAAUCGUGACUUUCUUAGAGUUUAGGUAGGGAAUAUUGUGUUUGUUGCUGAAUAUGUUGAUUCAGAAGAUGAGAUUGUCAGGUGUUUGCUCUGAGAGAUGCGGGUGAUAUGGCGGAGAAUGCAACAGCUUAUGUGAGCUUGGAACCUUGCAAUCAUUUCGGGAGGACCCCACCUUGUACCGAAGCUCUAGUUAAAGCCAAAGUGAAAAAGGUUGUUGUUGGGAUGGUGGAUCCAAAUCCCAUUGUGG
rnacentral:lncRNA from 1 species